GGCAACCCCGAGCUCAGAUACCGCCUGCCCCGCCCGCCACCGCCUCGCCGUCAUCUCCGCCCACCUCGACGCCUCCGCCUCCGCCUCCCCCUCUCUCCCUCUCUCCUCUUCUCCCGUCUCCGCCCACGACACCGUUCCCCCGCCAGGCGACCUCUCCGGCAAGCUCUCCAUAACCGACGAGCGCACCGGCAAGAAGUACGAGUUCCCGAUCUCCAAAGAAGGCACGAUCCGCGCCACCGACAUCAAGAAGAUCACGGCCGGAAAGUACGACAAGGGGCUGAAGCUGUACGAUCCUGGAUACCUCAACACCGCGCCGGUGAGAUCGACGAUCUGUUACAUCGACGGCGAUGAGGGGAUUUUGAGGUACCGGGGGUAUCCGAUCGAGGAGCUGGCGGAGAACAGCACGUAUCUCGAGGUGGCUUACCUCCUAAUGUAUGGGAAUUUGCCGUCGCAGAGUCAGCUGUCGGAUUGGGAGUUUGCGAUUUCUCAGCAUUCAGCUGUUCCGCAGGGUUUAUUGGAUAUUAUACAAUCGAUGCCUCAUGAUGCUCAUCCGAUGGGUGUGGUUGUCAGUGCGUUGAGCGCGCUGUCGGUGUUCCAUCCGGAUGCCAAUCCUGCUCUCAGGGGUCUAGAUCUUUAUCAGUCAAAGCAAGUGAGAGAUAAG
rnacentral:misc_RNA from 1 species